CAUGUCUUUCUCCUCAUUGCUCAUGUUACAUCUGCCCUUUUCACAGGGAUGCUUGAAGAUGGAAAGAAAUUUGAUUCUUCCCGGGACAGAAACAAGCCCUUUAAGUUUAUGCUAGGCAAGCAGGAGGUGAUCCGAGGCUGGGAAGAAGGGGUGGCCCAGAUGAGUGUGGGUCAGAGAGCCAAACUGACUAUCUCCCCAGACUAUGCCUACGGUGCCACUGGGCACCCGGGCAUCAUCCCACCACACGCCACUCUGGUCUUCGAUGUGGAGCUUCUAAAACUGGAAUGACAGGAGUGGCCCCUCCCUCAGCCCCCUGUUCCUGGGAAACCAAACUGAAUAUCCCAGUGGCGCAUCCCUUUUCAUAUCUGCCAUGGAGGGAUCCGGUGCCUCCAGACGCGUGCACAUGAAUCCAUACGGAGCUUUUCCUGGCGUCCCACUACACUUUGUAUAAACAUCUACCCUGACUGAAUGUGUUCUGUCACUCAGCUUUGCUUCUGACACCUCCAUCUCCCCUCCCCCUUUCUCCUUGUAUGUGUGUUUACCUAAACUAUAUGCCAUAAACCUCAAGUUAGUCGUUUUGUUUUCAUUUUGGGGUGAAGAUUCAGUUUCAGCCUUUAGAAUCUAGGUUUCCAUUUAAGUAUCUUGACAGGUAUUAACAGCACAAGUAAUGGGUUAACUUUAGAAUAGGAAUUGGUGUUGGGGGGUGGGGUUUGCAAGAAUCUUUAUUUUAUUUUAUUUUUUUGGAUGAAAUUUUUAUCUAUUAUAUAUUAAACAUUCUUGCUGCUGCGCUGCAAAGCCAUAGCAGAUUUGAGACUCUGUGGAGGGCUGAAUUACUCUCUGAUGUGAGAAAUGUCCUUGGGUUAAAUUCAAAGCCCUACCCAAAACUGCAGUGGGGAGGGGAGGGCCUUUUCCUUGCCAGCCCACCCCCUCCCCAGAACCCCUCUGCCUUUUGAAAGCAGAUCACUUUCACUGCGAUGUUGACACUACAGGUAUCUGUCCCUGGGCCAGCAGGGACCUCUGAAUCCGCCUUUGUGACCUGGCUGGUUUUGGUUUGGGGUCUUUUGGGUUUUUUUUGUUUGGGGGGUUUUUUCCCUUUCUUUCCUCCAUCUUGUGGUUUUUCAGAACUUUUGUAAUAUCGAAGCUAUCCAAGUUCCACUUCGUAAAUUUUAAGAAUUUUAAUUGAAAGUUUAAAUUGAAGGUGCUGUUUGUAGACUUCAACACCCAGUGAAAGCCCGGCCAUCUUGACACAUCCUCGAGUGUCCUCUCAGAAAACGCUGCUGGCCACCGCAGCUUCAGCACCGCCUAUUUUUUGAUGCUUGGCUCUCUGCUGAUCUCCAGGUUUCCUGGCUUUUUGUCCCUCAGCCCCUUCUUACCCUUUGCUGUCCUGUGUAGUGAUUUGGUGAGAGAAAUUGUUGCUUUGUCCCCGCUUCCCCCGCACCACGUAUGAGUUUCAAGUUUUACUAUUGCAAUAAAAGUGCUUUAUGCUGGCUUUUCUCAG